CUAAAGUCAUAGUAUGGGUACCAGUCUAAAGUCAAAAAGGGGGAUGAAUGGAGGUGUGUCUAUAAAAGUGGGAUGGAUGGAGGUGUGUCUAUAAAAGGGGGAUGGAUGGAGGUGUGUCAAUAAAAGGGGGAAGGAUGGAGGUGUCGAUAAAAGGGGGAUGAUAGAGGUGUGUCUAUAAAAGGGGAUGGAUGGAGGUGUGUCAAUAAAAGGGGGAAGGAUGGAGGUGUCGAUAAAAGGGGGAUGAUAGAGGUGUGUCAAUAAAAGGGGAUGGAUGGAGGUGUGUCAAUAAAAGGGGGUGGGUGGAGGUGUGUCUACAAAUGGGGGAUGGAUGGAGGUGUGUCUAUAAAAGGGGAUGGAUGGAGGUAUGUCUAUAAAAGGGAUGAUAGAGGUGUG
ensembl:lncRNA